GGACUCUCGACCCGGAAACCCUCGUGCCCUUUCAGGACUCCCGAGCCCCGCGUGAAGUGAAGCUAUGGGAGAGCGGUUUCCCGCUCCUCUUCGCACCGCUUCUGUUUCCGAUCUUUUCCAGUCUGACAGGCGCUUCCCUGCUGUUUUGUUACAGAGCACCUGUUCCAGCUGCAGUCAUGAUUUAUUCUCUAGCUGGCUCCACGAGGGCAAAUCCUUUUUGACCCUCACCUAUCUGUACCUCCCAAACCAGUGUUCUCGCAGUAAGGACCUAGCAUCUGCUGCGUGACGGAAGGAGGGAAUGAGCGGUGUACAAACUGGCGUGGACAGCCAGUAGCUGUUCACGUAAUCCACCCUAAAACAAUCCCAAUCCCCACUCCUUCAGGUGAAUGGUUAACAGGUGCAUCGAUAUUAAUAAAGUCCAUAGAGGAUUCAGAUUU